UACGUAGGGGGCUAGCGUUGCUCGGAAUUACUGGGCGUAAAGGGCGCGUAGGCGGCACUGUUAGUCAGGCGUGAAAGUCCUGGGCUCAACCUGGGAACUGCGCUUGAUACGGCAGAGCUAGAGGAUGGAAGAGGGUCGCGGAAUUCCCAGUGUAGAGGUGAAAUGCGUAGAGAUCGGGAAGAACAUCGGUGGCGAAAGCGCUCUACUGGACCGCAACUGACACUCAGGGACGAAAGCUAGGGGAGCGAAUGGG
rnacentral:rRNA from 1 species